AUUGAACGCUGGCGGCAGGCCUAACACAUGCAAGUCGAACGAGUGGCGGACGGGUGAGUAAUGUCUGGGAAACUGCCUGAUGGAGGGGGAUAACUACUGGAAACGGUAGCUAAUACCGCAUACCAUCAGAUGUGCCCAGCUGGGAUUAGCUAGUUGGGGGGGUAACGGAGCACAAAGGCGACGAUCCCUAUCUGGUCUGAGAGGAUGACCAGCCAAACUGGAACUGAGACACGGUCCAGACUACGACGGGAGGCAGCAGUGGGGAAUAGUGCACAAUGGGCGAAAGCCUGAUGCAGCCAUGCCGCGUGUAUGAAGAAGGCCUUCGGGUUGUAAAGUACUUUCAGCGGGGAGGCGUUACCCGCAGAAGAAGCACCGGCUAACUCCGUGCCAGCAGCCGCGGUAAUAC
rnacentral:rRNA from 1 species